rnacentral:rRNA from 1 species
UUUCCAGAGGAAGGCUCGUCCGCUCUGGGUUAGUCGGGUCCUAAGCUGAGGCCGACAGGCGUAGGCGAUGGAUAACAGGUUGAUAUUCCUGUACCACCUAUAAUCGUUUUAAUCGAUGGGGGGACGCAGUAGGAUAGGCGAAGCGUGCGAUUGGAUUGCACGUCUAAGCAGUAAGGCUGAGUAUUAGGCAAAUCCGGUACUCGUUAAGGCUGAGCUGUGAUGGGGAGAAGACAUUGUGUCUUCGAGUCGUUGAUUUCACACUGCCGAGAAAAGCCUCUAGAUAGAAAAUAGGUGCCCGUACCGCAAACCGACACAGGUAGUCAAGAUGAGAAUUCUAAGGUGAGCGAGCGAACUCUCGUUAAGGAACUCGGCAAAAUGACCCCGUAACUUCGGGAGAAGGGGUGCUCUUUAGGGUUAACGCCCAGAAGAGCCGCAGUGAAUAGGCCCAAGCGACUGUUUAUCAAAAACACAGGUCUCUGCUAAACCGUAAGGUGAUGUAUAGGGGCUGACGCCUGCCCGGUGCUGGAAGGUUAAGAGGAGUGGUUAGCUUCUGCGAAGCUACGAAUCGAAGCCCCAGUAAACGGCGGCCGUAACUAUAACGGUCCUAAGGUAGCGAAAUUCCUUGUCGGGUAAGUUCCGACCCGCACGAAAGGCGUAACGAUUUGGGCACUGUCUCAACGAGAGACUCGGUGAAAUCAUAGUACCUGUGAAGAUGCAGGUUACCCGCGACAGGACGGAAAGACCCCGUGGAGCUUUACUGUAGCC